UUUCAGUGCAGUUAUAGAUUUUUGUGUCUAACAUUUGACAAUCCGUUAUAUUUAAUUUUUUUUUAUAAUUAAUAUUUUUAUUGUUAUUAGAUGAUAAAACAUGAAUAGAAAUUUAUGCGUGACUUAUUUUUUCAUAAUUUUUUUUAAAUAAUACGGAUUGUCAAAUAUUGGACAUAUAAACUCAUGAGUACACUUUAA
rfam:Oryza rufipogon genomic scaffold, chr08